rnacentral:lncRNA from 1 species
UUAUGGAAUUAUGCAAUACAAGAAGAAAAAAUGGCCAGAUUUGAUAGUUUGUCAAGGGUAAAUUGAUUUGUUUCACUUUUUAAGUUUUAUGAUUAAGUAUCUAAUUUUCUAAGUAAAUUAUGAGGUAUCAAUGUAGAGAUUUUUUUUUCUAAAAGAAAGUAAGUUUGACUAAGGAACUAAACAAAUUAGAAAAUAAAUAAAAAGAAACUAAGAAUAAGACUA